GACGAACGCUGGCGGCGUGCUUAACACAUGCAAGUCGAACGAUGAAGCCGGAGCUUGCUCCGGCGGAUUAGUGGCGAACGGGUGAGUAACACGUGAGUAACCUGCCCUUGACUCUGGGAUAACUGCUAGAAAUGGUAGCUAAUACCGGAUACGACCCUCGGUGGCAUCACCAGGGGGUGGAAAGCAUUUCGGUCAAGGAUGGACUCGCGGCCUAUCAGCGAGUUGGUGAGGUAACGGCUCACCAAGGCGACGACGGGUAGCCGGCCUGAGAGGGUGACCGGCCACACUGGGACUGAGACACGGCCCAGACUCCUACGGGAGGCAGCAGUGGGGAAUAUUGCACAAUGGGCGCAAGCCUGAUGCAGCAACGCCGCGUGAGGGAUGACGGCCUUCGGGUUGUAAACCUCUUUUAGUAGGGAAGAAGCGAAAGUGACGGUACCUGCAGAAAAAGCACCGGCUAACUACGUGCCAGCAGCCGCAGUAA
rnacentral:rRNA from 1 species